GAAGAUUUGAACAGACUAAAUCUGGAAGAUAGGCAGGGACAGAAUGAGGUCUGCUAGAUCUUCUAAGAAGAGGAUGAUUAGAAGACGGAGCAGAAGAAAUAAGAGUAUGAGAGGGCAGAGGAGAAAUUGAAACAUCAGAAGAAAGAUUUGGAGUGAAAAUAGAAGAAGAAGAAGAAGAAGAAGAAGAAGUGGUUGAAAUAGAGGGUAUAGAAGGGAAGAAGGAACAACAGUAGGAUUAGGCAUAGACGAAGGUGAAUCACAAGAAAAGUGCUCAGGAGAAAGAG
rnacentral:lncRNA from 1 species